rnacentral:rRNA from 1 species
UGCAAGUCGAACGGCAGCACAGAGGCGCUUGCUCCUUGGGUGGCGAGUGGCGGACGGGUGAGGAAUACGUCGGAAUCUGCCUAUUUGUGGGGGAUAACGUAGGGAAACUUACGCUAAUACCGCAUACGACCUACGGGUGAAAGCGGAGGACCUUCGGGCUUCGCGCAGAUAGAUGAGCCGACGUCGGAUUAGCUAGUUGGCGGGGUAAAGGCCCACCAAGGCGACGAUCCGUAGCUGGUCUGAGAGGAUGAUCAGCCACACUGGAACUGAGACACGGUCCAGACUCCUACGGGAGGCAGCAGUGGGGAAUAUUGGACAAUGGGCGCAAGCCUGAUCCAGCCAUGCCGCGUGUGUGAAGAAGGCCUUCGGGUUGUAAAGCACUUUUGUCCGGAAAGAAAAGCUUCGGGUUAAUACCCCGAGGUCAUGACGGUACCGGAAGAAUAAGCACCGGCUAACUUCGUGCCAGCAGCCGCGGUAAUACGAAGGGUGCAAGCGUUACUCGGAAUUACUGGGCGUAAAGCGUGCGUAGGUGGUUUGUUAAGUCUGAUGUGAAAGCCCUGGGCUCAACCUGGGAAUGGCAUUGGAAACUGGCUUACUAGAGUGCGGUAGAGGGUAGUGGAAUUCCCGGUGUAGCAGUGAAAUGCGUAGAUAUCGGGAGGAACAUCUGUG